GGGGAUGCAUUGCAUCGACAAGGAUCGCACUUUUAAAAUUGCAAGCCGACUUUGAACAAUAGUCGUAAAACAGGCUCAAAAAUUAAAUGCUGACGAAGAUAAUUCGGACAGUGGUCUAGCAGUUUACCCAGGGCUUGGCGUAAGACCCAAUUUUGCCUUUGCGUAAUCUGCAAAGCCUGUUCAUAUCAUCUUUUCUCAACGGGAUGAUAUGGGCAAAAAACAGUUGAGAAAAAAGUGAAAAGAGAUGGUUUGGCUUUUUACUUUAAAAUAAAACCUUGACCUUAUUAAUUUUGUCAGUUAAGAACAAUAAGGCGACAAAAUUAACUGACUAAGCUUGUAGAAGUUUUAAGAAUGUUUUCUUUGGACGCCGAGUCAUACUCGGCCAUCUCCACAU
rnacentral:tmRNA from 2 species